AACUUGCAAAAGUUUGGGAUUUUGUGUUUAAUUCCCUUCCCCCAGCACGCGCGCGCGCGCGCGCGCGCGCACACACACACACACCAUCAUCAGCCCUCCACUCUAAGUAGGAACUGGAAUAGGUUCUUUCUCAAGCCUGGAAAGUUGGCAGGUUAGAAAGGGACUUUCCAGACAAAUCCCUUUUGGGGAAACCUCUGCUAUUCUGCAAGAACUUUUUAACAUCCAAAGGCUGAUUAAAUAGAGCUCGGCCUUCCCUCCUUCCUUUCAGUAAGUAGGGCUCCUUAAAUGGAACCUGUCUGACUCUUCGAUGGAAAAGCUUGGGCGACAGAGACUUGCCAUUGAAUCUGCAACCGGGUCGUGGACGCAGAUGGCAUCGAGAUUCACCCCGGGAGUAGGAUCUAAGCCAACUGCUGUCACAGGGCAAAGUACCAGAACUUCAAGCUAAGCCACAGAGAUAGAGAUUUAAGUAAAGGACCCCCAAUCACCGGGCUGGAAAUCAUGCUGCAGCCACGGGGCAGUCAUGGCUCUCAAGGAUGCCGGAAAGACUGGUGGAAUCAGAGGGAGGCAGUUCACGGAGUUAGAAUCACCCAAACCAUCCACGACGUAAAAUCCCUGGAGGUGUGCACGACUGGACCAGAGGUGCAAAGGAAAAGAACCUUCAAAUGAAAGGACUGGCUGGGAUGCCUACCAAGACUGAGAAUCACCAUGAGAAAAUUUGGUGGUGAAGGAUCCAGGCAUGGCAGCAUUUCUAGAUGCAGAUCAUUGACUUGCGCCGUCCUUCCAAGAUUGAUAAGCACAUUACUUCUAUCGGCAUUGAGCUGGGGGUAGAGAUUGAAGUGAUUAUUGCAGAUGCUUAAAUCAACCAUUUUAAUAAUUAUCCACUGUUAAAAAAAAGAGGCAUAAAUAACUAAGAGGCAUAAAUAACUAUUAAAAUGGAAUAAUAAAAAUCUCACUAAUUUAGAGAAGGCAGAAAGUGAACCAAAUAAAUAAAUAAAUAAAUAAAUAAAUAAAACAAGAAAAAAUAGAGCAUAUAGAAAACAGCUAGCAAGAUCAUAGGUUUUAAUCCAACCAUCACAAUAAUCAGUUAAAAGGCAAAGAUUGUUAGGUUGGAUAUAGAAAUAAGACUCAGUUACAUGUUGCUACAGGAGACUUACUUUAAAUAUAGACAUAAACAGGUUAAAAGUAAAAGCAUAUACCAUGCUAACAGUGUUACUCCUCUCUCCCGCAAAACAAAACAAAUCAAAACAAAAAAAAAAAAAAAAAAAGAAAAAAAGAAAGAAAAGAAGGAAAGAAAAAAGAAAAAAAAAACAAACCUGGAGUAGCUGUGUUAAAUUUAGUCAAAGCAGACUUCAGAGCAAGAAGCAUUGUCAGAUAUAAAGUAGACCAUUACAUAAUGAUAAAAGGAUAAGUUCUCCGAAUGCACCUAACAGUCCUGAAGGUGAACGUAUGUAAUAGCAGCGUUUCACAAUACACGAGGCAAAAACUGGUGAGUCUGAGAGGACAUACGGACAAAUCCAUAAUUAUCACUGGGGACUGCAGCACUUUUUUUAUACUUGCUCACAGAACAAAUAGCCAAAAAAUCAGUAAGGAUAUAAAUGAUCUGAACAGCACUAUCAAUCAACUUGACUUAAGUGGCAUCACUACACCAAAGAACUUCAGAAUACACAUUCUUGUUAAGUGCACAUAGAACAUUCACCAACAUAGACCAUAUUCUGGGUCACAAAACAAAUACAUUUAAAAGAACAGACAUGAUACCAAGUGUGUUCUCAGAUUAUUACAGAAUUAUAUUAGAAAUCAAAAAAAGAUAUCUGGAAGAUCUCUAAAUAUUUGGAAAUUAAACAAUGUAUAUUUCUAAAUAAUCCAUGAGGCCAAAAGGAAGUAAGCCUCAGGGGAAUUCUAAAAUAUUUUAAACCCUCAACAAUAGGAAAGCAAGCAACCCAAUUAAAACAGGACAAAUGAUCUUAACAGAGACCUCACCAAAGAAAUAGACAGCUGCAAAUAAGCACAUGAAAGAUACUCAACAUCAUUUGUAACUGGGAAAUUUCACAUUAAAGCAACAAUGAGACACCACUAUCCACCUAUUAGAGUGGAGAUAAUAAUAAUAAUAAUAACAAUAAUAAAAUAAAAUAAAAAUCUGACAAUGCUAAUUGCUGGCAAGGAUGUUUAACAACAGGAACUCUCAUCGCUUGUGGAAAUGAAAAAUGAUACAGCUACUUUAAAAGACAAUUUGGCAAUUUCCUACAAAGCUAAACAUAGUCUUAUCUUUCAAUUCCAAAAUCACACUCCUACAUAUUUAUCCAAUUGAUUCUAAAACAUAUCCACACAAAAGCUUACACAUGAAUGUUUGUAGCAGCUUUGCUUAUAAUUGCCCCACAAAAAGUCUUAAAUGGAUAUUGGUAAGUGAAAGAAGCCACUUUGAAAAGGCUCUAUAUUGCAUGAUUACAAUUAUAUGACAUUCUGGAAAAGUCCAAAGUAUAGGAACAAUAAAGUGAUUAGUGUUUGCCAGGAGUUCAGGGGUAAGGAGAAAGGAAUGAAUGGUUGAAGCACUGGGAAUUUUUAGGGCAUCAAAAUUAUUCUGCAUUCCACUGGGGAUCUUGUGAUAGAUGUGAGACAUUAUGCAUCUGUCAAAUUCACAGAACUUUACGGCACAAAAAGUGAAGUUAAAUGUAUGCAAAGUUAGAAAAAAAAAUCUUAUAGGAGAUUGGGGGAACCCAGGAUGGAAUACAGAAUGGGACAAGACAAUCCAACUGCUUUACAAAUGUAUGAAGGGGGAAAGGUGUGUAGGGGGGAAAGAUACUGAACUAUGUAAUUUUGGAAAUGAGUGUAAUAUGUAAGACUGUACUCGAGUUGAUAAAGUUGUUGACCAUAGGGGUGUAGUUUAAUAAUUCUGAUACCACUAUAAUGUAUCCUGGGAUUAAACAACUAAGCAAAUGGAUGGCAAUGGUGGGAGAUAGGUUUUUCACUGCUGACAAAGGAGUUUAGAGACAAGCAAGAGGAAUAGACUAAAAUGAUCCAUGGGGUCUAAUUUAUAUUAGAGUUGGGGACAUCAGUAUGAAGUUACGUUUAGCGUAGUGUAGAUACAGAUGGUGACGUAUAGAAAUGCACACAUACAGGUUAGGAUACACAUACAUAUUUUCUUGCUCUGUUAGCUGAGGGCCUGAAACAAUGAAAACCCUAGUAGCAACGAGUAUAACUACCCAGAUCUGGGCUUGUAGAAUUGUUUUCUAGUAAAAGGAACAGAGCUUCUUAGAGAAAUGGCUGAUUCUAGGAUUGGGCAGGAAAUAUAGAAGAUGAGUCUGGAGCAUCUUAUAGUGGCAUAAGCUAAAAAACAUAAAUAAAACCAACAAUGAUGGGAUGUGUGAAAGAGACACAAAAGUCAACAGAAAGAGCUUCCAGUGGCCAGAGCUAGAGCAAGUUG